GCAAAUAAAAGACAAAUGUAGGCUAUCUACUCACAGGUGAUGUGUAAAUCGCCCAUUAUCACCUUUUACAUGAACGAGAACCAGCAAUCACCGCACUGUGUAUAAACAGCCUGUGCAUGCAGAAUCAUCACUCUGGUCUCUGAACUUUGGUUAGUGUCUGUGAACAGAGCUGAAGAGAUGCAAUCUUGUGAUUUCUGCGGUGAGAAUACCCACGGUGUCUCAUUCAAACUCCCUUUAAAAGAGGAACAUCGUCGCCUCUGGAUAGUGAAUAUGGGUAAAGACGCGGAAUGGACUCCAUCUGAAUCCUCGUCUCUGUGCUCCGCUCAUUUCACUCCGGAUUGCUUUGAAUCUGGAUCAGCUCGUUUACACUCAGACGCGAUUCCGACUGUGUUUAAUUUCACACAAUCUAAGGUAGUCUAUCUAUCUAUCUAUGACUAGUAAAGAGAGAGAGAGGAGUGUACUUUUAGUAAAC
rnacentral:lncRNA from 1 species